rnacentral:rRNA from 1 species
AGUGAACGCUGGCGGUAGGCCUAACACAUGCAAGUCGAACGGCAGCACAGUAAGAGCUUGCUCUUACGGGUGGCGAGUGGCGGACGGGUGAGGAAUACAUCGGAAUCUACUUUUUCGUGGGGGAUAACGUAGGGAAACUUACGCUAAUACCGCAUACGACCUACGGGUGAAAGCAAGGGAUCUUCGGACCUUGCGCGAUUGAAUGAGCCGAUGUCGGAUUAGCUAGUUGGCGGGGUAAAGGCCCACCAAGGCGACGAUCCGUAGCUGGUCUGAGAGGAUGAUAAGCCGCACUGGAACUGGAACACGGUCCAGACUCCUACGGGAGGCAGCAGUGGGGAAUAUUGGACAAUGGGCGCAAGCCUGAUCCAGCCAUACCGCGUGGGUGAAGAAGGCCUUCGGGUUGUAAAGCCCUUUUGUUGGGAAAGAAAAGCAGCAGGUUAAUACCCCGCUGUUCUGACGGUACCCAAAGAAUAAGCACCGGCUAACUUCGUG